CACGUAGGGGACGAGCGUUGUCCGGAUUCAUUGGGCGUAAAGCGCGCGUAGGCGGCUCGGCAAGUCGGGUGUGAAAUCCCGGGGCUCAACCCCGUGACUGCAUUCGAUACUGUCAGGCUAGAGGUAGGUAGGGGAGAUCGGAAUUCCUGGUGUAGCGGUGAAAUGCGCAGAUAUCAGGAGGAACACCGGUGGCGAAGGCGGAUCUCUGGGCCUUACCUGACGCUCAGGCGCGAAAGCUAGGGGAGCGAACAGG
rnacentral:rRNA from 1 species